rnacentral:tRNA from 4 species
GCGGAUAUGGCGGAAUUGGCAGACGCGCACGGUUCAGGUCCGUGUGUUGAACAGACAUGCAGGUUCGAAUCCUGUUAUCCGCACCA